GGGAAUUUUGCGCAAUGGGGGAAACCCUGACGGAGCAACGCCGCGUGGGGGAUGGCGCCCUUCGGGGUGUAAACCCCUUUUCUGCGGGAAGAAGGGCGGGGGCAACCUCGCCUUGACGGUACCGCAGGAAGAAGGACCGGCUAACUACGUGCCAGCAGCCGCGGUAAUACGUAGGGUCCAAGCGUUGUCCGGAGUUACUGGGCGUAAAGCGCGCGCAGGCGGCGGUGCUGGCCCGGCGUGAAAGCCCCCGGCUCAACCGGGGAGGGUCGUCGGGGACCGCACCGCUUGAGGGCGGUAGGGGCUGGUGGAAUGCCUGGUGUAGUGGUGAAAUGCGUAGAGAUCAGGCGGAACACCCGUGGCGAAGGCGGCCAGCUGGGCCGUCCCUGACGCUGAGGCGCGAAGGCGUGGGGAGCGAAC
rnacentral:rRNA from 1 species